GACGAACGCUGGCGGCGUGCUUAACACAUGCAAGUCGAACGGUGAAGCGCCUUCCUUUUUGGUGGGUGUGGAUGAGUGGCGAACGGGUGAGUAACACGUGAGUAACCUGCCCCCUUCUUCUGGAUAACCGCAUGAAAGUGUGGCUAAUACGGGAUAUUCUGGGUCUGUCGCAUGAUGGGUCUGGGAAAGAUAUUGUUUCGGUGGGGGAUGGGCUCGCGGCCUAUCAGCUUGUUGGUGGGGUGAUGGCCUACCAAGGCGGUGACGGGUAGCCGGCCUGAGAGGGUGGACGGUCACACUGGGACGGAGACACGGCCCAGACUCCUACGGGAGGCAGCAGGGGGGAAUAUGGCACAAUGGGCGCAAGCCUGAUGCAGCGACGCCGCGUGAGGGAUGGAGGCCUUCGGGUUGUGAACCUCUUUCGCCAGUGAAGCAGGCCUGCCUCGUUUGUGGGUGGGUUGACGGUAGCUGGAUAAGAAGCGCCGGCUAACUACGUG
rnacentral:rRNA from 1 species